ACCUUUCUGUAAAGCGGCGGACUGGUGAGUACGCGUGGGUGACCUGCCUUUAGGGUCGGGGAUAGCACGUUAGAAAUAGCGGGUAAUACCGGAUGUGAUCGCAUAAGCUGUGGUCUGUGUGAGGAAAGGUGCCACGGCAUCGCCUGAAGAUGGGCCCGCGUCCCAUUAGCUAGUUGGUGGUGUAAAGGACUACCAAGGCGAAGAUGGGUAGCCGGCCUGAGAGGGUGAACGGCCACACUGGGACUGAGAUACGGCCCAGACUCCUACGGGAGGCAGCAGCUAAGAAUAUUCCGCAAUGGACGAAAGUCUGACGGAGCGACGCCGCGUGGAUGAGGAAGGCCGAAAGGUUGUAAAAUCCUUUUAGUUCGCAUGAAGAAUAAGUGCACGAGUAGGGAAUGACCUGUUGAUGACGUUAGGCAAGUGCAAUAAGCCCCCGGCUAAUUAA
rnacentral:rRNA from 1 species